GAUUUUAGGGUCUAUUAUCAACUAAAGCUGCUUCACAUGAGAUGCAGAAAGUACCGAACAGAGAAACACUGAACUUGAUGAGGAGACUCCAUGAAACCUGAUCAUGUGUUUUUCUGAGUUAUCCAUGAUUGUUUUGGCUUUUUGUGUCUGUUAUUGUGUUUGUUUUAGUCGUGUGUGUGUGUGUGUGUGUGUGUGUGUGUGUGUGUGUGUGUGUGUGUGUGUGUGUGUGUGUGUGUGUGUGUGUGUGUGUGUGAAGAUCAGGCAGAUCUCUCAGUGGUCGUUUUUCUCCUAAACCGAGCUCAGACUUUGUCCUUCAUGAUGAAACUCAGAGUCAACAAACUCAGAGGCUCCGCAGAGAGAAAGAGGGGCCCGCUGAGGACCUGGACACACACACAGAGCUCUGACGCCCCCUGCUGUUCACACUCGUUACUGCAGCACACUUCGUCCACCAGAGGAACUCCAAACUUGAUCAGUCACAUUUGAAAUAUCUGCAGGUUAGCUCUUCAUCACGAUCGGAGUAUAACCAGGAGACUGUAAACAGGACUCCUCACUGCUGAACCAUGAGUCCAACUGCACUGAUUUACCAAGAGUGUAUUUGCUGCUGUGUGUGUGAG